UCCCUGGUAGCUCAGUGGUAAAGAACCUGCUUGCCGAUGCAGGAGACUCAGGUUCAAUCCCUGAGUCGGGAA
rfam:Ovis aries breed Texel chromosome 11, whole genome shotgun sequence.